rnacentral:tRNA from 1 species
UGACUUAGAUGGUAAAGAAUCUGUCUGAAAUGCAGGAGACCCAGGUUCAAUCCCUGG